GUGCCAGCCGCCGCGGUAAAACGGAGGGUGCAAGCGUUGUUCGGAAUUACUGGGCGUAAAGCGCGUGCAGGCGGCAUUCUAAGUUUCGUGUGAAAUCCCUUGGCUUAACCGAGGAACAGCGCGGAAAACUGGAAGGCUCGAGUACGGGAGAAGUGGGCGGAAUUCCCAGUGUAGAGGUGAAAUUCGUAGAUAUUGGGAGGAACACCGGCGGCGAAAGCGGCUCACUAGACCGAUACUGACGCUCAUACGCGAGAGCAUGGGUAGCAAACAGGAUUAGAUACCCCCGUAGUCC
rnacentral:rRNA from 1 species